UGGGGGUCAAUGAUGUGAUGAUAAAUCUGCGUUAUCUUUCUGUAAAUCCUUAAAGGAAUUGAAGAUAAUUGUGUUCACUGAGACCUCCU